rnacentral:tRNA from 1 species
GCGGUUAUGGCGGAAUUGGCAGACGCGGCAGAUUUAGGUUCUGUUGUUUUACAACGUGCAGGUUCAAGUCCUGUUAACCGCA